GAUAUUCAUUUCAACUCUGAUGACAUGGCAGGGCCUGAAAGAGGCGUCUGUGGAAAGGUAGCUUCUUUAAGCCUUGGCCCUGCAAUCCCUUGCAGGUGCACAGCAGGGAGUUCCAGCUUGUUGCACUUCAGUGCAAAGGAUGCUAAACCGCUGUGUGCUGCAGGCAGAGAACAGGAGAGACUGAGAUGCUACCACUGCACAAGACCCCCUUCAGCUGCACAGGACUGAUUAGCUCCUAGCACCACAAGGCCCUGGUCUCAGCUAACGCCACUGGACACUACUAUAAUGCAAAUCAAUAAUGCCAUUUCAGCAGUGGAUGCACCGAUUUCUAUCUGCCGUUCGUGAAAAGCACUAGGACCCCCUUAGGAUGAAAGAAAAGAUACAGCUGAGACACCAUAUGUGGAAGCAACUUGCCCAAAGCAACGCAGCUGAGUGAGGAAAGAACCAAGAAUUGAACCCAGGAGUCCUGCUCUGACUAAGACAACCCUGACACCGAAGGUGCUGCAGUUACAAGACCCUGCAGAAGACUGGAGCACCUUCAGUAUCCAAAUGGGAGAGAGCCUGCUCAUCUGAACCUCAUGCAGCUACAAUUGACUGUACAAGGGAUGGUUUUCUUUAUUCAACUAAAGUUUCCUGGGAAGUGGCAAUAAUCCAAGCUCCUACUGUAGAUCAGGGUGGGGUGGAUUUUCAAAGGCACAAACUGGAGUAGGAUGCCUAAUUGCCCUUUGUGCCUGAGGAAAACAUGUAGCUGUUAUGGGCUGCUCCAGGAGCACUAGCUUUUAUUUUUUGUAAUUUCAAAACAUUUACCUUGGUCUGUGUGGUGGUGUGUGCACACCCCAUCUCCUGGCAGGGGGGAUAGUGGGUGUGCAUACACCACAGUUACAGUCUACCAGGCUGUCUUGGGCAUCACCACAAUGAGGGCCAAUGGCUAGAGUCCCUACCACAGCCCUCAGGUGCAGAGCAGCAUGGCCUAGCAGCUAGAUCCAGGGGCCAAUACCAGAUGAGGUGGCAGCCAGGGUAGGGGGACCCAGGCCCACCUGACUCCACUGGGUCCCAACCCAGUGCCCUAACAAUGGCCAUGUGUCCACCACUGGGUCAGUAGGGAAUCCAACCUCAACCUGCUAAUCUUAGAUGGGUGGGAGACACCCUCCCUGGGUCACCUCCUACCAGGCUCCUGAAGCUGCAGUCCAUAGGUCUCCAGACCAGAUUGCAGGAUCUCCACUACAGCCUCCACCACAUGUCCUUCCUCCUUGGCAGUCGGACCAGAUUGAGCUGAGCUGCUCUCCUUUUAUACUAGCACAGCAUUUGGAGCAUGCCCAGCAUGGUCUGAGGGGCGGGGCUUCCUCGGCCUAUAGUGGGGGAUUAACCCUUUCCUGCCUAGUGCAGGGUAUGCACACCCCGUCACAGCCUGUAACCUGCAAAGAUCAAAAUCCAGCCAACAAUCAGAGGCCUGGAUGCAGUGAGAUGGGACAGCAAUAUUUCACUUUCAUAAUCCAGACAGUACAAAUAGCUGUUGAAAUCAGAGCGAUUAUUAAAGAUAUGAUUCCUCCAUUACAGCAGCUGGUGCUUUAAAUGCACCUAGCUUUAGGUAACUAUUAGUAUGGAUACAGAUGGGAAGACUUUGAGGUGGGGGGGCUAUGGUGCAAUUCUCUAAUCAAAAGCUCUGAGAGAGGGAUGAGGUGAUUAGUACUAAUGGAUAACUGAGUAUUGAGGAAUUGGGUGGAUGCUGUAUUUUGUGGGAAUUGAACAGACAUGAGCUAACUGGAGGGUCUGGAUGGUGGUCCACAAAGGGAGACUAGUGAGGUGAUAUCCCUCUUUUUGACUGAUGUGUAAAGGCAGUCUGAUAGGCUUUUCUAAAAAAAUUGUGUAUGGUGUUUUCUAAUCUGCUAUACAGAUCUCCUAUCCUGUAAGAAUCUCUACAUUGAGCAGAGGGCUCAAGUAACCCAGCCCAAGUGAAAUUGACUGGAAACAGACAGGCACAAUGGGAUAAUGGCAUCAUAAGCAGCAAGGAAGUGAAAUCCAAAGAACAGACAAAUGAAGGGAUUUUUGUAAUAGGUACUGAAUAGAAAUGCUACUUGAACAGUGGGGGGAAAAGGUCUCUAAAUAGUCCCCCAGGCUGCAGUUUGCUGCUCCUCCAAGGAGAGUGCCACCAAAACCAGACUUUAUUUUUAAGUUGAAACACUGAAAAGGGGUUUUCUGAGGGCACGAGGGGAACUUUCAGGCCCUCCAGCUCUGUCAUCAAGAAGCAAAAGAAUCUCUUUUCUUGCAAGUCACUUUGGAAAAGGAGGUGAGAGGGAAAGAAGGGGGGUGGAACUGCUAAAUCGAUAACAUUUUGCUUCAAGGAAAACCCCCCUUUCAACUGAUUGCCUCCUUGUUUUGGUCAAAACAUGAGGUGGGGGUAGAGGUUAGAUAUAAAGAAUAGCAUGUUAAACAAGCAGAUCUGUAGCCUGCACAGCUGGACCAAUGACAGGGAUCUGGGCCUUCUUACUUAUUGUCAUUCCCAGCUACCCAGAAGCACACACUGUUUUAAGGAGGGAUGAGUAAAUGCACUAAAUAGAACUACACUCAACAAGGGGCCGUAAGCUGUGAUUUAUCUAACAUUGUGCCACUGUCCUUCCUGACGGGCCUCAGAAAGCCUGGCUUGGCAUCUGAUGAGCUGAGUUACACUGCGUUACAAGCAACCUGUAAAGACAUGCCAGCUCCAACCUUGCCCUACCGCUGCCCCCAUUUUGGCUGGGUACUGAAGACAGGUUCUAAAAACCCCUGCCCAUUAGUCUAAGGUAACACAUCAGCUAGAAAAAAUUCAUCGCUAAACACAUGUUAAGCACCUAUCUGGUGGUCAUCACUAGGGUGUUUGCAGAUGUAGGAAGUGGGGCAGUUAGUCUGUAUCAUGUAAUGUUCAAAUGUUAGCGGGCAUCCAAUCUGGAAAAAUCAUAAAAUCACUAAAAGGGCCAUAACUCGAAGAAACAGUCUAAUUUUCACCACAAUCAGCAGAAAUUUUCUAAAUACAAUUGAUAAUGCAACUAUGUAAUCAAAAUAGUGCUGUUCUGGAAAGUGUGGGAAAUAUUUAGCUUCGGGUGAUAUGUUUUGUGCAUUUUCCCGUCCUUGUUUGUCUUCAGCUAAAACAGAAGUCUGUAGUCACAGGACAGUAUAAGUUUGUUUGAACCAUGUAAUGCAUCAAAAUAUCUGUCAUUAUUUGUAGAAUGGACUUAUUGGAGAAGUUUUUCUGUCUGCAAUUUUAUAUUUUAUGAAUAUUGGCUGGUGCGCAAUGAUUCCUGCACCGGCAACUGAUGUUAAUACAGCAUAC